UUGGUUGGUGUUUUGCAUAGAGACAUUGUGUGGCUAAACUGCAGCUGCUAUAAAAGUGCCAGUGUCCCUGUGCCAUAUUAAUGAUCUGUAUGUGUCACAGUGCAUAGAUAGAGACAUGUCUUAUCCCACUUAUCUACUGCUGCUGCUGCUGCUGGGGAUCCUCCUGAUCUUUAUCCAGGGUUCUUAUGGGCAGAUUGUAAUGACUCAGUCUCCAGAUUAUGCCUCUGUGUCACCAGGAGAAACUGUCACCCUCACAUGUAAAGCCAGUAGCAGUGUUGAGUAUAACUGGUUAGCCUGGUACCAACAGAAAUCAGGGCAGGCACCAAAGCUGCUGAUCUAUGCUGCAAGCACCCGACACACAGGGACCCCAGAGCGGAUCAGCGGCAGUGGGUCUGGAACUGAUUUCACUCUUACAAUCAGCAGAAUGGAAGCAGAAGAUGCAGCAGAUUAUUACUGUCAGCAGUAUAGGAGUUCCCCUCUCACACAGUGAUACAGAGCUGAACAA